ACGCUGGCGGCGUGCCUAAUACAUGCAAGUAGAACGCUGAAGAGAGGAGCUUGCUCUUCUUGGAUGAGUUGCGAACGGGUGAGUAACGCGUAGGUAACCUGCCUUGUAGCGGGGGAUAACUAUUGGAAACGAUAGCUAAUACCGCAUAACAAUGGGUGACUCAUGUCAUUUAUUUGAAAGGGGCAAAUGCUCCACUACAAGAUGGACCUGCGUUGUAUUAGCUAGUAGGUGAGGUAACGGCUCACCUAGGCGACGAUACAUAGCCGACCUGAGAGGGUGAUCGGCCACACUGGGACUGAGACACGGCCCAGACUCCUACGGGAGGCAGCAGUAGGGAAUCUUCGGCAAUGGGGGCAACCCUGACCGAGCAACGCCGCGUGAGUGAAGAAGGUUUUCGGAUCGUAAAGCUCUGUUGUAAGUCAAGAACGAGUGUGAGAGUGGAAAGUUCACACUGUGACGGUAGCUUACCAGAAAGGGACGGCUAACUACGUGCCAGCAGCCGCGGUAAUACGUAGGUCCCGAGCGUUGUCCGGAUUUAUUGGGCGUAAAGCGAGCGCAGGCGGUUUGAUAAGUCUGAAGUUAAAGGCUGUGGCUCAACCAUAGUUCGCUUUGGAAACUGUCAAACUUGAGUGCAGAAGGGGAGAGUGGAAUUCCAUGUGUAGCGGUGAAAUGCGUAGAUAUAUGGAGGAACACCGGUGGCGAAAGCGGCUCUCUGGUCUGUAACUGACGCUGAGGCUCGAAAGCGUGGGGAGCGAACAGGAUUAGAUACCCUGGUAGUCCACGCCGUAAACGAUGAGUGCUAGGUGUUGGAUCCUUUCCGGGAUUCAGUGCCGCAGCUAACGCAUUAAGCACUCCGCCUGGGGAGUACGACCGCAAGGUUGAAACUCAAAGGAAUUGACGGGGGCCCGCA
rnacentral:rRNA from 1 species